rnacentral:lncRNA from 10 species
UCUUCCAAUAUUCUUCUAAACAUUAGAGGCAACUUUGUACAAGAAAGUUGUUGGAGCUGGCUUGGGGAGUUGCUUGUUGCAUGUAUCCCAAGAGGGCAAGGCUGCCAGCAGCAGAAUAAAACCUCCCAGCAGGACGCAGAAGCCACUAAAAUAAAAUGCAAUAUCAUAGGUCUGGGUCCAGUCAUAAAACCAACCUGAAAAGGCAGUAAGAAAAAAAGUAAGUUUCAUGGAAAUAGUAUGAACAUCCAUCCCAUACCCUAAUUAUAUCAGUUUUAUAUAUAGUUAUAAUUAGUAUAUAUAUUACUCCACUACUUCCAGCGUGGUUUACUGGGAGUUAGAAGAAGAGAAUCUCUCAAAUAUUUGGAUAAGAAUAAGCAGGCAGGCUGGGUGCGGUGGCUCACGCCUGUAAACCCAGCACUUUGGGAGGCCGAGGCGGGCGGAUCACGAGGUCAGGAGAUGGAGACCAUCCUGGCUAACACGGUGAAACCCCGUCUCUACUAAACAACAACAACAAAAAACAUUAGCCGGGCGUGGUGGCAGGUGCCUUUAGUCCCAGCUACUCAGGAGGCUGAGGCAGGAGAAUGGCAUGAACCCAGAAGGCGGAGCUUGCGGUGAGCCGAGAUCACGCAAUUGCACUCCAGCCUGGGCGACAGUGCAAAACUCCGUCUCAAAAAAAAAAAAAAAA